UACGGAGGGGGUUAGCGUUGUUCGGAAUUACUGGGCGUAAAGCGCGCGUAGGCGGAUUGGAAAGUUGGGGGUGGAAAUCCCGGGGCUCAACCCCCGGAACUGCCUCCAAAACUUCCAGUCUGGAGUUCGAGAGAGGUGAGUGGAAUUCCGAGUGUAGAGGUGAAAAGUUCGUAGAUAUUCGGAGGAAACACCAGUGGGCGAAGGCGGCUCACUGGCUCGAUACUGACGCUGAGGUGCGAAAGUGUGGGGGAGCAAACAGGGAUUAGAUACCCCGGGGUAGU
rnacentral:rRNA from 1 species